AGAGUUUGAUCAUGGCUCAGGACGAACGCUGGCGGCGUGCUUAACACAUGCAAGUCGAACGGAAAGGCCCCUUCGGGGGUACUCGAGUGGCGAACGGGUGAGUAACACGUGGGUGAUCUGCCCUGCACUUUGGGAUAAGCCUGGGAAACUGGGUCUAAUACCGAAUAGGACCGCAUGCUUCAUGGUGUGUGGUGGAAAGCUUUUGCGGUGUGGGAUGGGCCCGCGGCCUAUCAGCUUGUUGGUGGGGUAAUGGCCUACCAAGGCGACGACGGGUAGCCGGCCUGAGAGGGUGUCCGGCCACACUGGGACUGAGAUACGGCCCAGACUCCUACGGGAGGCAGCAGUGGGGAAUAUUGCACAAUGGGCGCAAGCCUGAUGCAGCGACGCCGCGUGGGGGAUGACGGCCUUCGGGUUGUAAACCUCUUUCAGUAUCGGCGAAGCUCCAGGAUUUUUCUUGGGGUGACGGUAGGUACAGAAGAAGCACCGGCCAACUACGUGCCAGCAGCCGCGGUAAUACAUAGGGUGCGAGCGUUGUCCGGAAUUACUGGGCGUAAAGAGCUCGUAGGUGGUUUGUCACGUUGUCUGUGAAAACUCACAGCUUAACUGUGGGCGUGCGGGCGAUACGGGCAGACUGGAGUACUGUAGGGGAGACUGGAAUUCCUGGUGUAGCGGUGGAAUGCGCAGAUAUCAGGAGGAACACCGGUGGCGAAGGCGGGUCUCCGGGCAGUAACUGACGCUGAGGAGCGAAAGCGUGGGGAGCGAACAGGAUUAGAUACCCUGGUAGUCCAA
rnacentral:rRNA from 1 species